CAGCCGCCGCGGUAACACGUAGGGUGCGAGCGUUAAUCGGAAUUGCUGGGCGUAAAGCGUGCGCAGGCGGCUUUGCAAGACAGAUGUGAAAUCCCCGGGCUCAACCUGGGAACUGCAUUUGUGACUGCACAGCUAGAGUAUGGCAGAGGGGGGUGGAAUUUCACGUGUAGCAGUGAAAUGCGUAGUGAUGUGGAGGAACACCGAUGGCGAAGGCAGCCCCCUGGGCCAAUACUGACGCUCAUGCACGAAAGCGUGGGGAGCAAACAGGAUUAGAUACCCGAGUAGUCCCUGUCUCUUAUAC
rnacentral:rRNA from 1 species